UUACAACAUGUAUUCAUCAGUUAACUGCACUUUUUUGGGGUAAUUGCUCUUUCAAAUCUCCAUAAGAGGGCAAAAACACCACUCUUCUCGAGAUGAUCUCAGUCAGCUGGACGGGCUCCACACUUCCCGUGCCAUUUUAUAUGUUUUAAAUUGCACUUCAGAGAGCGUUCACCAGUUAACUGAAACUUAUUGUGUUCUAAAAUUUAAUCCAGGUGGUGUCUUUGGACUAAGGCCACUCUGGAGUGGUAACAUUAGCACAACUGAUGGUUGGUUUUUUUCCCCUGUUGACAUGUAUCUCCUUUCUUUUGAUGUGAAUACAUCAAUAGAAUAAGGGGUUUCUAAUAUUACUGUCUUACAUAGUUCACAGAUUAUUGAAGCUUUUUGCGGCUAUGGAAAUCUGACCAGAGACUAUUCGGUCUUAUCUCUGAAUUGAAGAUAAGAAGUGUAAAUGUUCAGAUAUGUAUGUUACCCCUUUUGUAAACUAAUAUAGGACCGUUUAGACUGCUACUUUAGAUCACUAAAGUUGUGAUUUAAACGGUCUUAUAUUAGUUUACAAAGGGAUUACCUCCUAACCACUCUUUACAGAUUUAUUAUCUAUGAAAUGCAUCCAAGCAAGUCCUAUCUUAUCUGCAAUUACCCCCUUAGAUAUCUGAAGUUUAGAGCUCACUAUCCUUCCAGGCUCUCUACUGGUUGUAUUUCCUUGACAACUUCGAGGGAGGAAUAAGUACUGUUUGUCAUUCUUUGACAUGUAUAAUACAAUACUAGAGAUGCGAAUUGUUGGAGUUCAUUUAGUGGAGUAUUAGUAGAUAAAUGAUUUCUUUUCUUCGCAUUCAACUGGUGUAUAUGUGUUUAGUCCAUUCCCAAAAUGAUUUGUAAAGUUGCCUUAACAACUAAACAGCCUUCAUGUGUAUUGGUACUCUGUUUUUUGGGCAGCUGGAAGAAAUCAGUUUAUCAAUUAACAAAUAUGGAACGGAGGGAGUAGUUAGUUAGGCAUCACAGUGAAGCUUGGCGAAGGGGCAUUUUUUUAGGCCUACAAGGCUGGAUGCACUGUAUCAAAGUGGUACCAUCCGAUGGGCAUUCAUUUGUCAACUACCACUUUUUUAGCUGUAUCGCGUACCAAAAAAUUGAAUUGACAAUGUCUGAACAAAUAUGAAGUAUAAAGUUAUAUCAUUGAAGAGAAUUGUUUUAUUUUCAAAACUAAUGAAGUUGGAUCUGCUUAAAGCACAUAUUCACGAGUUAACUUCACUUUUUAGGGUAAUUGUAAUUUAAAUAUCCACAAGAGGACAAAACCACUACUCUUCUGAAGAUCAUCUAAAUAAGAUGGAAGGGCUCCACACUUCCCAUGCCAUUUUAUGUAUUUUAGAAUUUACUUCAGAGAGACUUCAUCAGUUUGUGCUCUAAAUUUUACUUUAGAGAGUGUCUUUGGACUGAGGCCACUUUAGCACAAUUGAUGGCUGCUUUUCCUCCCCUGUGGACAUGUACCUCCUUUAUCUAGAUGUGAAUAUAUCAAUAAAACAAGGAAUUUUUAAUAUUACUGUCUGACGGAGUUCACAGAUUAUUGAAGAUUUUUGCAGCUAUGGAGAUCUGACCAAACAGUCUUCUAUCCUACCUCUGAAUUGAAGAUGUAUUGGGUCUGUAUAUGAAGUGUAAAUAUUCAGAUAUAUAAAUCCGUUGAUUCAUGAAUUAAAUGGCCAGAGAUCGGUGCAGUCAAGUGGAUUGAUACCUGGACUUUAGAGCUCAAAAUCCUUCUAACUUCUCUACUGGCUGUAUUUUGUUGACAGCUUUGAGAGAAGAACAAGUACUGUUAGUCAUUCCAUGACAUGUAUAAUUUAAAUACUAGAGAAGUGAAUUGAUAGUUCAUUUAGUAGAGUAUUAGUAGAUGAUGGUGUAUAUCCUGAUAUGUUUAGUCCGUUCCCAAAAUAAUUUGUGAAGUAGCCUUAAUAAUUAUAAACCUUCUCUGUAUAUUAGUACUCAGUUUUUUGGGGAGCUGGAAGAAGCCAGCUUACCAUAACAUGUGAAAAUGAAUUUAUUUA